rnacentral:rRNA from 1 species
CUACGGGUCGCACCAGUGGGGAAUAUUGCACAAUGGACGAAAGUCUGAUGCAGCAACGCCGCGUGGAGGAUGACACAUUUCGGUGCGUAAACUCCUUUUAUAUAGGAAGAUAAUGACGGUACUAUAUGAAUAAGCACCGGCUAACUCCGUGCCAGCAGCCGCGGUAAUACGGAGGGUGCAAGCGUUACUCGGAAUCACUGGGCGUAAAGAGCGUGUAGGCGGGUUAAUAAGUUGGAAGUGAAAUCCUAUGGCUCAACCAUAGAACUGCUUCCAAAACUGUUAACCUAGAAUAUGGGAGAGGUAGAUGGAAUUUCUGGUGUAGGGGUAAAAUCCGUAGAGAUCAGAAGGAAUACCGAUUGCGAAGGCGAUCUACUGGAACAUUAUUGACGCUGAGACGCGAAAGCGUGGGGAGCAAACAGGAUUAGAUACCCGAGUAGUC